ACCGGGGUAGCAAAGCCUGGGAAUUGCUAAAGGCCUAAGCCCUUUCAUCAGAGGUUCAAAUCCUCUCCUCGGCU
rnacentral:tRNA from 1 species